AUGCCCAAGAGGAAGGUUAGUGCGGAUGGAGCGGCCAAGGCGGAGCCCAAGCGCCGCUCCCCCAGGCUGUCGGCCAAGCCCGCCCCUGCCAAGGUGGACGCGAAGCCGAAAAAAGGCCGCGGGAAAGGAUAAAGCAUCAGACAAAAAAGUGCAGAUAAAAGGGAAGAGGGGAGCGAAGGGCAAACAGGCUGAGGUGACUGACCAGCAAACCACAGAGCUGCCUGCAGAAAAUGGAGCCGGAAAACCAGAGUCCAGCCUCUGAAGAAGAGAAAGACGCUAAGUCCGACUAA
rnacentral:lncRNA from 1 species